UACGAGGGGGGCAAGCGUUGUUCGGAAUUAUUGGGCGUAAAGAGCUCGUAGGUGGUUUGUCGCGUUGUUCGUGAAAACUCACAGCUUAACUGUGGGCGUGCGGGCGAUACGGGCAGACUUGAGUACUGCAGGGGAGACUGGAAUUCCUGGUGUAGCGGUGGAAUGCGCAGAUAUCAGGAGGAACACCGGUGGCGAAGGCGGGUCUCUGGGCAGUAACUGACGCUGAGGAGCGAAAGCGUGGGGAGCGAACGGG
rnacentral:rRNA from 1 species